GCAAAGAUUGCUAAGACAGUGGCG
rnacentral:siRNA from 1 species